GUGAAUUACCAUGUGUCUGUUCAGGUUGCUUUUUUGUCUAAAUCUUUUACCACACUCAGAACAGACAAAUGCUUUUUGCCCUGUAUGAAUUAUCAUGUGUCUGUUCAGGUGACCCUUUUGUCCAACUCUUUUACCACACUGAGAACAGACAAAUGCUUUUUGCCCUGUAUGAAUUACCAUGUGUCUGUUCAGGUCGCCCCUUUGUCCAAAUCUUUUACCACACUCAGAACAGACAAAUGCUUUGUGCCCUGUGUGAAU